rnacentral:rRNA from 1 species
UACGAAGGGGGCUAGCGUUGCUCGGAAUCACUGGGCGUAAAGGGUGCGUAGGCGGGUCUUUAAGUCAGGGGUGAAAUCCUGGAGCUCAACUCCAGAACUGCCUUUGAUACUGAAGAUCUUGAGUUCGGGAGAGGUGAGUGGAACUGCGAGUGUAGAGGUGAAAUUCGUAGAUAUUCGCAAGAACACCCGUGGCGAAGGCGGCACUCUGGGACGGUACUGACGCUGAGACGCGAAAGCGUGGGGAGCGAACAGG